AGCUCUGUAAGCGUAUACCAAAGUUGUUGCAGUUAAAACGCUCGUAGUCGGAAUUUGGCGGGCGACGCAGGGCAUCCUUGCGGAUGGAUCUGUAUUGGCCGCCUUUGUGGAUGGGGGCUUAGUGGUGCUUUAUUGCCUCGCUAAGUCGCUGCCACCGUUUACUGUGAAAAAAUUGGAGUGUUCAAAGCAGGCGUUUGCCUUGUACACAUUAGCAUGGAAUAAUAGAAUAGGACCUGGUUCUGUUUUGUUGGUUUGUGAGAAUUAGGUAAUGAUUAAGAGGGACGGUUGGGGGCAUUUGUAUUCUGCCGUCAGAGGUGAAAUUCUUAGAUUGGCGGAAGACAAACAGCUGCGAAAGCGUCUGCCAAGGACGUUUUCA
rnacentral:rRNA from 1 species